rnacentral:rRNA from 1 species
UGUGUAGGCGGCCUUCUAAGUUUGGUGUGAAAUCUCCCGGCUUAACCGGGAGGGUGCGCCGAAUACUGAAGGGCUAGAGUGCGGGAGAGGAGAGUGGAAUUCCUGGUGUAGCGGUGAAAUGCGUAGAUAUCAGGAGGAACACCGGUGGUGUAGACGGCUCUCUGGACCGUAACUGACGCUGAGACACGAAAGCGUGGGUAGCAAACAGGAUUAGAUACCCUGGUAGUCCACGCCCUAAACGAUGCAUAUUUGGUGUGGGUCAUUCAGUUGAUCCGUGCCGGAGCUAACGCGUUAAAUAUGCCGCCUGGGGAGUACAGUCGCAAGGCUGAA